UACGUAGGCAGCGAGCGUUGUUCGGAAUUACUGGGCGUAAAGAGCGCGUAGGCGGCGCGGUACGACCGCUGUGAAAGCCCCCAGCUCAACUGGGGAGGGUCAGCGGUAACGGCCGUGCUAUGAGUGCAGGAGAGGGAAGUGGAACUCCGGGAGUAGCGGUGAAAUGCGUAGAGACCCGGAGGAACACCAGUGGCGAAGGCGGCUUCCUGGUCUGCGACUGACGCUGUGGCGCGAAAGCUAGGGGAGCAAACGGG
rnacentral:rRNA from 1 species